rnacentral:rRNA from 1 species
GCUGGCGGCGCGCCUAACACAUGCAAGUCGAACGGCACCCCUCUUCGGAGGGAAGCGAGUGGCGAACGGCUGAGUAACACGUGGAGAACCCGCCCCCUCCUCCGGGAUAGCCUCGGGAAACCGUGGGUAAUACCGGAUGACCCCGCAGGGCCGCAUGGCCCCGCGGGCAAAGCCCAGACGGGAGGGGAUGGAUCCGCGGCCCAUCAGGUAGACGGCGGGGUGACGGCCCACCGUGCCGACGACGGGUAGCCGGGUUGAGAGACCGACCGGCCAGAUUGGGACUGAGACACGGCCCAGACUCCUACGGGAGGCAGCAGUGGGGAAUCUUGCGCAAUGGGGGGAACCCUGACGCAGCGACGCCGCGUGCGGGACGAAGGCCCUCGGGUCGUAAACCGCUUUCAGCAGGGAUGAGACAAGACGGUACCUGCAGAAGAAGCCCCGGCUAACUACGUGCCAGCAGCCGCGGUAAUACGUAGGGGGCGAGCGUUAUCCGGAUUCAUUGGGCGUAAAGCGCGCGUAGGCGGCCCGGCAGGCAGGGGGUCAAAUGGCGGGGCUCAACCCCGUCCCGCCCCCUGAACCGCCGGGCUCGGGUCCGGUAGGGGAGGGUGGAACACCCGGUGUAGCGGUGGAAUGCGCAGAUAUCGGGUGGAACACCGGUGGCGAAGGCGGCCCUCUGGGCCGAGACCGACGCUGAGGCGCGAAAGCUGGGGGAGCGAACAGGAUUAGAUACCCUGGUAGUCCCAGCCGUAAACGAUGGACGCUAGGUGUGGGGGGACGAUCCCUCCGUGCCGCAGCCAACGCAUUAAGCGUCCCGCCUGGGGAGUACGGCCGCAAGGCUAAAACU